rnacentral:pre_miRNA from 1 species
UAGCCAAGGAUGACUUGCCUGUAUCCUCUUAGAGGCCGGCCUGCGCGCCUGUCUCUAUAUUAUCAUACAUUGGAAUAUAUCAUCCUUGUGUGGUUAAUAGGCGGGCCUGCCUGUCUCUAUAUUAUCAUACAUUGGAAUAUAUCAUCCUUGUGUGGUUAAUAGGCAGUCUCCUUGGCUAAC